UAGCCAUGAUGUGGGCAAGAGUUUAUAAGAUCCUUGAAUCUCUCCCAACAUUAGAAGAAGGUCUCUUCCUCUUUUUGGGAGAAGUUCAUGAUCACUCUCCUCAAAGUGC